GCUCCUUUUCUCACUGGGAGAAAAAGCACAUGGGAAACUGGGACCGGGAAUGAAGUUAGCGACACCUCUGCCUGAGGUCCAGGCGCUUCUGCUCUCAAGUGCUCUUGACAGCGGACUCUAGGGGAAAUGGGCGGAGUGAAUGUGGGUGACCUUUCCUUCUACUCCAGCGCCUUUUGCUGCGCUCUCAAUGUCCCUCCUUCCUGUCGGGUGGUCCCCUUUCCCUCUCCUCAACCAUGACCUCUUCCUUCUUAUUCAAGACAUCUUUGUUGUGUCUUCCGUUCCUCCCCCACCUUCCUCGCAGCCCCUUUCAUUCAAUUUAUACUAAUUCUCCCCCCUCCUUUUUUUUUCCUUCUUCUUUCUUUCUGGUGUUUUCUCCCUUGUUCCUAACGUCGCCGCCUGUGAGCAGUCAGAUUGUCUCAUUAAAAUCGAGCACCAUACCUUCAAUCCCACCAGUGACUGCCUGUCACUCUCCGAGUCCCCCUUCGCCUUGAAAACUAAUACUACCCUUGUUCUCCAGUGCUCAGGCUACUCAGGAAUUCAGGUAAGCGUUAGGCAUGGGGCACUAGCCUUUUUAAUACCUGGGGACUAACUUUACUUCAACCGGGGCGUUAGUGAUUUUCAUUCAGGUUUUAUCUUUUGAAGCGCGAAGAAGUCAGGUAAAAGUUGUGGGUUGUCAAUUAAUCUCACACUGACUGACUGGGUUGAAUUAUGGUUCUAAGCUGUUCCUGGGUGGUUUCAAGGUGUGAUCAGUGAGCCUCCUACAUUAGAAUGUCCUGGCUGCUGUUCAAAAUGUCAAUUCUCAGCGACACAAUCCAUACCUUUAAAAAUCAAAAUUUCAGCCUUAUACCAGGCUCCUUAAGGAGAUUCUUGUCCAUUUCAAAGUUUAGCAACCCUGCUUGGGUUUAUAACUUAGCAAUUGUAUGCUUCUUUCUUAAAAUGUUGCAUUAUAUAUUAAAUCUCUACCCUAUGUUUUGCUUGAUUGCUUGCUUGAGUGGGACUGCAGUCUCUUUAACAUAAUAAAUUUUUGCAAUACAGUCACAUGCAUUUGAAUGAAUGUGUAAUUUUAAAGAUGGAGACAUUAUAGUGGAGAGUUAGGAGUAGGAACUCUGGAGUCAGCCUGCCUGACUUUGAAUCCUAGCCCUUUAACUUAGCUUUUAACUGUGAAGAUCUGGACAAGUUUUUAGCAUCUAUGUGCCUCAGCAAAAUAAGUAAUCUGUUCUUAAGUCCUACAUAGGCUGUCUGUAAGAACUAAAUGAGUCACCAUAUAUAAAAGCACUUGGAAAGAUGCCUGGUACGUAACAGGUACUCAACUCAAAAAAUAUUUCAGUUGGUGAAUAAAGUAGAAAAUUUAUGUUCUUGAGAUAAUUUUAAGAAAGACAAAGAUAGACAAUGUAGAUAUGUAUGAUUGAUGUUGAUUAACCCAGUAGACUUAACAAAUCUGCAAUCCAAAUGUCUAAGUAGCCAAGACUGUCAUUUUUUACGUCUCAAGGAUUGAAUCAUAGGUUUCAACCAAGCUAGGAGUUGAAACCACCUGUAUUGAGCUUAAGUGAAAAACUCAAGACCAAGCAGUCAUAUGAGAAAUCUGUUUGCCUCUAUGUCUUCCUUCAAAGGGAACUCUGGCAAGGCUACAAGUCUACAGAUGGUCACAAUAAAAUUCACUCAUAUAAGAAGAGCACAAAGGACAGACUUGAUCAAGUUCUUGAGCAGAAUUUUUUUGAUAAAGGGAGAGUCUGGAGAAAAUUAUUUCACCCCCACCCUAGCUCAAACAGAAAGUCUGAGACCAAUAAUAAUUAAUUAGGAUUUAGCAGAAUUAGACUGUAAGAUUCUUGCUUGGUAACCCAGGAUUCUCUAUCAAUCUGUGUGUGCCUAGGAAGGAGGCUCAGCCUGUCAUUACUCAAGGGUUAAGAAAUGCACCAAAAUCUUGUGCAGAAUAAGUCUUCAGGGUGUCUGUGGCACAUGUAAGGAGUGGUAGGGAUGGGGAGCAGGAAUAAUUUGGUUUCAAAUAAUAGACUAGUUUUUACUGAAUUCUAGUAAGAUACAGAAGAUAAGUCCUAUCCUUUGAGGAUUUGUGCUCUUGUCAGAGAGAUCAUGACAUCAUCAAUUUAUUUAUUCACUUAAUCAUGCAAAAAGUAUCCAGUGUUUCCUAUGUAUAAGUCACUGUACUCAGUGCUGUGGGGAAAUACCAAUGAUGCAACCAUAAGAAGAGUAGGUGAAAGCCAAGUGAAAUGACACAUACUCUUAAGUAUUAGAAGUUUCAAAAAGAAAGAUCUGAGCAAUUUGCAGAGGUUUUGUGGAGGAGGUGCUGCUUGGCCUUUUAGCAAGAUUAUGUGGGUGGAGAGAGAGAGGAGGGCUUUCCUCUGCAAAAAGCGCUCACACUUAAGCAGUUGAGAGGUGGAUUUUCUGGGAGAAGAUGACAUAAUCUGCCACUCAAAAGUUGUUAAAGAUAGUGAAAAUUAAUUUUUUUUUACUAUUGAUUCUCCUAUUCAACAGAAAAACAAUACCCAGGAAAUGAAACAAGAAGGAGUCAACAGUAACUGCCUCAACCAAACCUCACAAAUACUGGGAUGGUGGCGUCGUUUCUCUCGACUUUUAGGAAAAUAAAACUAUUUUAAUUCCUGUCAUAUUUUAUAGCACCAAAAGAAAUAAUUUUUAUUAAAUAUAUAAAAUGUUAACUCUGUGACAUUUAAAAGAGCACUAAUAGUUAUUCUUUAACUACAGAAAGGUUUCUUAACUUAUUUUGGGGUCAGUCUGUAUUGUUUAAUGUGGGUUAUUUAAUGUGGGAAGUAUUGAUCCUCUAAUGUCAGGGGACACUUCUGUAACAUUGGUGACUGGCUUCAUGGCACUAAUUCUCAUCUGAAACUUUACAAGCCCUACUCUAGGGAGAAAACAAAUAAGUAUAGUAGAAAGAAAUUUAAAAAAGAAAAGUGUUGGAUUCAAUGACAGCAUCUAACCCUCUGUUUUAAAAACAGGCAUUUAUUUUACAUGUUAUGAUUCUUUUCCUGUUCUCAUACUAAAACUCUAUAGAAGAAGAAAAGCAAAGCAAAUGAGAAUGUACAAAUCAUGGAAAGUAUAACGAAGCAAUUUGAAAGAAGUUUCAAGCAAAGUGUUAUAAAAGUAUUCUAAGCCAAGUUUUAAAAAUUAUAGACCAGAGUAGGAUAUGCAAGUAGAUUCUGAAGAAGUACCUUUGUUACAGCUAUUAUAUAUAUAAUAAAUCUUAAAUUUUAUAUAAUGCAUUUUUAAUUUAUUUUGUGAGCACUUUUGAAAAUGUACAUGUUGCUUUAUAACUGACAUUACAUAUUUCUUAAUAAAAUAAUUUUCAAAUUAGU
rnacentral:lncRNA from 1 species